AAAGCGCGUGUAGGCGGUUUCUUAAGUCUGAUGUGAAAGCCCCGGGCCCAACCUGGGAAGUGCAUUGGAUACUGGGAGACUUGAGUACGGGAGAGGGUAGUGGAAUUCCUAGUGUAGGAGUGAAAUCCGUAGAUAUUAGGAGGAACACCGGUGGCGAAGGCGGCUACCUGGACCGAUACUGACGCUGAGACGCGAAAGCGUGGGGAGCAAACAGGAUUAGAUACCCUGGUAGUCCACGCCGUAAACGAUGAGUACUAGGUGUUGCGGGUAUUGACCCCUGCAGUGCC
rnacentral:rRNA from 1 species